rnacentral:rRNA from 1 species
AACGAACGCUGGCGGCAGGCCUAACACAUGCCAGUCGAGCGCCCCGCCAGGGGAGCGGCGGACGGGUGAGUACCGCGUGGGAAUAUGCCCUUUGCUACGGAAUAGUCUCGGGAAACUGGGGGUAAUACCGUAUACGCCCUUUGGGGGAAAGAUUUAUCGGCGAAGGAUUAGCCCGCGUUGGAUUAGGUAGUUGGUGGGGUAAUGGCCUACCAAGCCGACGAUCCAUAGCUGGUUUGAGAGGAUGAUCAGCCACACUGGGACUGAGACACGGCCCAGACUCCUACGGGAGGCAGCAGUGGGGAAUCUUAGACAAUGGGGGCAACCCUGAUCGAGCCAUGCCGCGUGAGUGAUGAAGGCCUUAGGGUUGUAAAGCUCUUUCAGCUGGGAAGAUAAUGACGGUACCAGCAGAAGAAGCCCCGGCUAACUCCGUG